rnacentral:tRNA from 1 species
GGCUCUAUAGUGUAAUGGUUAGCACGUCUGCUUUACACGCAGAAUGUCCUGGGUUCACGUCCCAAGUGGAGCCA